AUUCUUUCCAGACGUCUUGACUUCUCCUUCCUCGCCGUUGUUGCCUUUCUGCCUCCUCCAACUUAAGGGGGUCUUAACAAGAUCUUCUGAGGGGUAGACUUCUUUGGAACUCGACAGGACCUUGAAGUCUGGGUUCUUAGUCCUUAUCACAUAUAUGGGCUGUAAUGAAUAAGUCUAAACGGAAAAAUCGAAUAAACUGGAAAUGAUGCUUUCACCACGUCGCACAAGAAAAACACAUUUGUUGUUUCUCGCCUCUGACUUGUAAUUCAUGACCCAUGAGACAGAAGUAAAAUGUUCUCUGACUGCAAAUGGAUGUAAAAGCUGAUUAUACAGCUAUACAUUUCUGGCAUCCUCCCAUCUCCACCCCAAAGUAAGGGGAGCUGUUUGGAUCAGAAGAUGACAUCCUUUCACCCAUCCCUUUCAGGUUUUGACAUCCUAAAAUGUACCUUAUGGAACCCAUACCUGUUAUGUUUUCACCUGUACAAGGCAACAGAGAAAACAUGGUAGUUUUCACUUCAGUAGAUGUGACUUAGCAAUAUGUUGUUGCUGACCUCCA